rnacentral:tRNA from 15 species
UGGGUUGUUGACUAAUAGGUAAGUCCCUGAAAUUUGACUUCAGUCUAUGUAAGUUCGAAUCUUACCAUCCCAU